GAUGAACGCUGGCGGCGUGCCUAAUACAUGCAAGUCGAGCGAACGGACGAGAAGCUUGCUUCUCUGAUGUUAGCGGCGGACGGGUGAGUAACACGUGGAUAACCUACCUAUAAGACUGGGAUAACUUCGGGAAACCGGAGCUAAUACCGGAUGAUAUUUUGACCGCAUGGUUCAAAAGUGAAAGACGGUCUUGCUGUCACUUAUAGAUGGAUCCGCGCUGCAUUAGCUAGUUGGUAAGGUAACGGCUUACCAAGGCAACGAUGCAUAGCCGACCUGAGAGGGUGAUCGGCCACACUGGAACUGAGACACGGUCCAGACUCCUACGGGAGGCAGCAGUAGGGAAUCUUCCGCAAUGGGCGAAAGCCUGACGGAGCAACGCCGCGUGAGUGAUGAAGGUCUUCGGAUCGUAAAACUCUGUUAUUAGGGAAGAACAUAUGUGUAAGUAACUGUGCACAUCUUGACGGUACCUAAUCAGAAAGCCACGGCUAACUACGUG
rnacentral:rRNA from 1 species